AUGACUUUUUUUUAAGAAAGCGGAAAUGGUUGGUCCGCCAUAAUCAUUCGUGUGGGUCUGUGCUUGUGUGGUUUGGUUGUCUUUACCGGUGCCAACCAUUAUUUUUAAUUAGUAGUAAGUUAUGCGUAUGAAUCCAGACAUGGACGAUGAUGAGAAGGGAAAACUGUUCGUCGGUGGUCUGUCAUGGGAGACGUCUCAAGAGAAUUUGCAGCGUUACUUCUCGCGUUACGGCGAUGUGAUCGACUGCGUGGUGAUGAAGAACAGCGAGUCUGGUCGCUCCAGGGGCUUCGGUUUCGUCACCUUCGCUGAGCCGGCGCUCGUCAACGUAGUGCUGCAGAAUGGGCCCCAUCAGCUUGAUGGCAGGACCAUUGACCCGAAGCCGUGCAAUCCUCGCACGCUGCAGAAGCCGAAGCGCGGUGGCGGAUACCCCAAGGUGUUCCUCGGCGGGCUUCCAUCUAACGUAACCGAGACCGACCUUAGGGUGUUCUUCGGCCGCUACGGAAAGGUCAUGGAAGUUGUCAUCAUGUACGACCAGGAGAAGAAGAAGUCUAGGGGCUUCGGUUUCCUGUCUUUCGAAGAUGAGAUCUCCGUUGAGAGGGUCACUCAGGAGCAUUUCAUCAAUCUCAACGGAAAACAGGUGGAGAUUAAGCGUGCUGAGCCUCGCGACGGUUCCGGCAAGCUGGGCUCGGGCGCCAGCGGCAUGGGCGGCGGCGCCCUCAGCGCUCCCGGCGACGCGCCGCAGGCCGGCCAGUGGGGCCCGCCCGCCGCCGCGCCCAUCAACAUGAUCCAGGGCCACAACGGCCAGAUGGGCGGCCCGCCGAUCAACAUGCCGAUGGCUGGCCCUAACAUCAUGCAAGGGUACCAAGGCUGGGGCACGUCCCCCGGGCAGACGUCGUACGCCGGGUACGGCGCGGCGGGCGCGGGCGCGGGCCCGGGCAACUACCAGGGCUGGGGCGCGCCGCCCGCGCCGCAGGCGCCGCCGCACGCGCCCGCCUGGCCCGCCACCAACAACUACACGCAGCACACGCAGCCGCCCGCGCAGGGCUACGGCAGCUACGCUAACUACAGCUCUGCGCCGGCGGGUGCGUCGGCCGGCGGCAGUUGGACCAACUGGAACAUGCCGCAGAACUCCAACUCUACCGGCUCCGGCUCGUACGUGCCGCUGUCGGAGGGCGGCGAGAUGUACGGGCGCGGCGGCGGCGGCGGCGGCGGCGCGGGCGGGCCGGCGCUGACCGGCGCGCUGUCCUCGGCGGCGCUGUCCAAGUCCUCGUCUGCCGACUACUCCACCUACCAGCAGUACCCGCCCGCCUACCAGCAGGACCAGUUGGUCGAUCAGGGCCCACAAGAGUGGCUCCUCCAGAAAGACAAUUAGAGAUAAGGGCGGGUAUCGGAUGAGGGAAUGUCGCGAAACACUGGGGAUUUCUCACUAUGGACGGUCGGUUGUUGCGACGAUAACGCGCGCUCAUCAUAAAGGCAUCGCACCGCACUAGAUAUAAGCUUACCCUUAGUUCCGUUCGAUAUUCAUAUAUAAUAUUGCAUUUUGUAGCCGUGCGAGAUGAUUCAAUCGCCUUGUUUCAUCUCAACACUUGUAAAUUGGCAUUUAAAGUACAAAUUAGUAAAAUUUGGAUUUUCUCAUAUUGUUACAGGUUCAUUAAUAGUUAAUUUUAUCGAUAAAAAUAAUAUUAAGAGCUGUACUUUAAGUGUUCAGAGAUGAGAGUUCGUCUAUUCUGUUAAAUGUAACCAGAGUACAUUAUUUACAAAAUUAUGUUAUACAAGUAAUGUCAUGGAGCAUUUGCUAAUGCGGCCCAAAAUUUUAUUCAUUUAAUAAACUAGAACGUUAAUUAUGACGGCAAAUAUAAAAAAGGAGUACCUCAUUUUAUGCUCCAUGACGCCGGUAAAAGGACGCAUCGCAGCCGAAGCCCGGCUCGGUUAGACCCGAGAGCUAUAUUUUUGUACGUCGUAGAGCACGUAUAGGGCCUCGCUUCAGCUGGAUGCGUCCGGGAUCGAUGCUGACGUGUGCGGGACUGGUAGGGCUCGACGUACGGCGGCGGCGCGUCGCGGUACACCGCCACCGAGUACCACGGGUCCGCGCCCGCCGCGCAGCCGCCAGGUGAUGACUAUGAAUACACCGGCGGGUCCGGCGAUGGCUACCAACGG
rnacentral:misc_RNA from 1 species